rfam:Schistosoma rodhaini strain Burundi genome assembly, scaffold: SROB_scaffold0000041
GCACUGCUGAGGAGUCCCAUAAUAGGACGAAACGGCAGUCCAGUGU